GUUAAUCCGAUGCCGAGUUCUUUCGCGCUCGCGAAGGGAACGGGGGACCCAAGUUACAAGGGGGCGUAUCCUGCCAUGAAGGCAGGAGGAACACCUGGAAGUUCCAGCCCGUCAGCUAACCUCGUAGGCGGUUUCAGGGCGACCAA
rnacentral:sRNA from 2 species